AUUGAACGCUGGCGGCAUGCCUUACACAUGCAAGUCGAACGGUAACAGGUCUUCGGAUGCUGACGAGUGGCGAACGGGUGAGUAAUACAUCGGAACGUGCCUAGUAGUGGGGGAUAACUACUCGAAAGAGUGGCUAAUACCGCAUGAGAUCUACGGAUGAAAGCAGGGGAUCGCAAGACCUUGUGCUACUAGAGCGGCCGAUGGCAGUUUAGGUAGUUGGUGGGAUAAAAGCUUACCAAGCCGACGAUCUGUAGCUGGUCUGAGAGGACGAUCAGCCACACUGGGACUGAGACACGGACCAGACUCCUACGGGAGGCAGCAGUGGGGAAUUUUGGACAAUGGGCGCAAGCCUGAUCCAGCAAUGCCGCGUGCAGGAUGAAGGCCUUCGGGUUGUAAACUGCUUUUGUACGGAACGAAAAGCCCUGGGUUAAUACCCUGGGGUCAUGACGGUACCGUAAGAAUAAGCACCGGCUAACUACGUGCCAGCCGCCGCAGUAAAAC
rnacentral:rRNA from 1 species